rnacentral:piRNA from 1 species
ACACACACUUGAUUGUUCUGGAUGAA